AGCAGCCGCGGUAAUUCCAGCUCCAAUAGCGUAUAUUAAAGUUGUUGCAGUUAAAAAGCUCGUAGUUGAAUUUCGGGACCAAUAUGUCGGUCGUGCCUCGGUACGUACUGGUGUCAUUGGUUUCUCCUUCCUGACGAACCAUGAUGUCAUUAAUUUGGUGUUAUGGGAAGUUAGGACUGUUACUUUGAAAAAAUUAGAGUGUUUAAAGCAGGCAUUAGCUUGAAUACAUUAGCAUGGAAUAAUGAAAUAGGACGUCCGAUCCUAUUUUGUUGGUUUCUAGGAUCAACGUAAUGAUUAAUAGGGAUAGUUGGGGGCAUUAGUAUUCAAUUGUCAGAGGUGAAAUUCUUGGAUUUAUUGAAGACUUAACUACUGCGAAAGCAUUUGCCAAGGAUGUUUUCAUUAAUCAAGAACGAAAGUUAGGGAUCGAAGACGAUCAGAUACCGUCGUAGUCUUAACCAUAAACUAUAGCCGACUAGGGAUCGGGUGAUUGUUAAUUUUUAUGUACUCAUUCGGCGUCC
rnacentral:rRNA from 1 species